rnacentral:tRNA from 1 species
UUCUUAUUAGCUCAAUGGUAGAGCAGGAUACUUCUAAUAUUCUGAUCUAGGUUCGAGUCCUAGAUAAGAAUC